rnacentral:rRNA from 1 species
GAGUUUGAUCGUGGCUCAGAUUGAACGCUGGCGGCAUGCCUUACACAUGCAAGUUGAACGGCAGCACGGGAGCUUGCUCCUGGUGGCGAGUGGCGAACGGGUGAGUAAUGCAUCGGAACGUAUCCUGGAGUGGGGGAUAACGUAGCGAAAGUUACGCUAAUACCGCAUAUUCUGUGAGCAGGAAAGCGGGGGACCUUCGGGCCUCGCGCUCUUGGAGCGGCCGAUGUCGGAUUAGCUAGUUGGUGAGGUAAAGGCUCACCAAGGCGACGAUCCGUAGCAGGUCUGAGAGGAUGAUCUGCCACACUGGAACUGAGACACGGUCCAGACUCCUACGGGAGGCAGCAGUGGGAAUUUUGGACAAUGGGGGCAACCCUGAUCCAGCCAUGCCGCGUGAGUGAAGAAGGCCU